CGCGUAGGCGGCCUGAUGUGUCCACGGUGAAAUCCCUCGGCUCAACCGAGGAACUGCCGUGGAAACUGUCGGGCUCGAGGCCGGGAGAGGGUGGUGGAAUUCCCAGUGUAGCGGUGAAAUGCGUAGAUAUUGGGAGGAACACCGGUGGCGAAGGCGGCCACCUGGACCGGUUCUGACGCUGAGGCGCGAAAGCGUGGGGAGCAAACAGGAUUAGAUACCCUGGUAGUCCACGCUGUAAACGAUGAGUGCUCGGUGUCGCGGGUAUCGACCCCUGCGGUGCCUUAGCUAACGCGUUAAGCACUCCGCCUGGGGAGUACGGUCGCAAGGCUGAA
rnacentral:rRNA from 1 species